GACAGAGGGUGCAAACGUUGUUCGGAUUUACUGGGCGUAAAGCGCGUGUAGGCGGCUUUGCAAGUCGGAUGUGAAAGCCCACGGCUCAACCGUGGAAGUGCAUCCGAAACUGCAUGGCUCGAGUCUCGGAGAGGAAGGUGGAAUGCUUGGUGUAGAGGUGAAAUUCGUAGAUAUCAAGCAGAACACCUGCGGCGAAGGCGGCCUUCUGGACGAUGACUGACGCUGAGACGCGAAAGCGUGGGAAGCAAACAGG
rnacentral:rRNA from 1 species